rnacentral:rRNA from 1 species
UACAGAGGGGGCAAGCGUUGUUCGGAAUUACUGGGCGUAAAGGGCGCGUAGGCGGCCUUCUAAGUCGAACGUGAAAUCCCCGGGCUCAACCCGGGAACUGCGUCCGAUACUGGAAGGCUUGAAUCCGGGAGAGGGAUGCGGAAUUCCAGGUGUAGCGGUGAAAUGCGUAGAUAUCUGGAGGAACACCGAUGGCGAAGGCAGGUCUCUGGGCUGACACUGACGCUCAUGCACGAAAGCGUGGGGAGCAAACAGG